UGGGGAAUAUUGCACAAUGGGGGAAACCCUGAUGCAGCGACGCCGCGUGAACGAAGAAGGUAUUCGUAUCGUAAAGUUCUGUCCUAUGGGAAGAUAAUGACAGUACCAUAGAAGAAAGCUCCGGCUAAAUACGUGCCAGCAGCCGCGGUAAUACGUAUGGAGCGAGCGUUGUCCGGAAUUAUUGGGCGUAAAGGGUACGCAGGCGGUUUAAUAAGUCGAAUGUUAAAGAUCGGGGCUCAACCCCGUAAAGCAUUGGAAACUGAUAAACUCGAGUAGUGGAGAGGAAAGUGGAAUUCCUAGUGUAGUGGUGAAAUACGUAGAUAUUAGGAGGAAUACCAGUAGCGAAGGCGACUUUCUGGACACAAACUGACGCUGAGGUACGAAAGCGUGGGGAGCAAACAGG
rnacentral:rRNA from 1 species